GGCAACUUCUGCUCUAGAUAGCAGGUCUGAGUUAUUAGUGAGGCAAGCUGUGCAGCAUUUAAUGGAAAAUCAUACUGUGCUUGUGAUUGCUCAUCGGUUGGAAACAGUUAUGAUGGCUAAACGAGUAUUCAUUUUAGAUGGUGGCAAACUUGAGGAGCUGACUAGCUCAAAUCUUUUGGGUGGUCACAGCAAUUCUGGGUCAUCGACUGGACUUGUGGUUUGAGGGCAUGGAAAUAUGUGGCACGGGCAGUAAAGAGUACAGACAUAGAUAUAAGCUUUUCUUUUUUCUUUUUUUAACUAGAUAGGCAUA
rnacentral:misc_RNA from 1 species